rnacentral:rRNA from 1 species
UACGUAGGGGGCAAGCGUUGUCCGGAUUUAUUGGGCGUAAAGAGCGUGUAGGCGGCCAGAUAGGUCCGUUGUGAAAACUGGAGGCUUAACCUCCAGCUGUCGAUGGAAACCAUCUGGCUAGAGUCCGGAAGAGGAGAGUGGAAUUCCUGGUGUAGAGGUGAAAUUCGUAGAUAUUGGGUGGAACACCGGUGGCGAAAGCGGCCCCCUGGCCCGGUCCUGACGCUGAGGCGCGAAAGCGUGGGGAGCAAACAGG